rnacentral:tRNA from 1 species
GGAGGGGUGGCAGAGCGGUUGAAUGCACUGGUCUUGAAAACCAGCGUACCGAAGGGUACCCAGGGUUCGAAUCCCUGCCCCUCCGCCA